GGAUGUGAGAGUGAUCUGGCUGUGACAUCUGUCACUCCAUUGAUCACCAGGAUUGAUUCAGUUGAUCUGGCUGGCUAGGCAGGUGUCCACUUUCUCCCUCACUGAUCCAUGGGUGUCCCUCCCAAAGCUCACACUUAGUAGAAAAGGACAAUCAUCCCCAACAGAGGAGGACUGGUCUUCCAUCAAGGGUAUACAAGUAGCUGCACUCCCCUGCUAGAAUCUCCCAACAAACUCUCAGGAGUAGCUAUACCUCUAUCAGAUAAAACCAGCUUUAAGUCAAAAAAGCU
ensembl:misc_RNA 7SK 7SK RNA